rnacentral:rRNA from 1 species
AGAGUUUGAUCCUGGCUCAGGACGAACGCUGGCGGCGUGCCUAACACAUGCAAGUCGAACGGAGAAUUUCGCAGAGCUUGCUCGAAGAAGUUCUUAGCGGCGGUGAGUAACGCGUGGAUAAUCUGCCUGUAAGACAGGGAUAACGCCGGGAAACCGGUGCUAAUACCGGAUAACCUCUUUGGAUCGCAUGAUAUGAAGAGAAAAGGUGGCCUCUUAACAAUGCUACCACUUACAGAUGAAUCCGCGUCCCAUUAGCCAGUUGGUGGGGUAAAGGCCUACCAAAGCGACGAUGGGUAGCCGGCCUGAGAGGGUGACCGGCCACACUGGAACUGAGAUACGGUCCAGACUCCUACGGGAGGCAGCAGUGGGGAAUCUUCCGCAAUGGGCGAAAGCCUGACGGAGCAACGCCGCGUGAGCGAAGAAGGUUUUAGGAUUGUAAAGCUCUGUGAUAUUGGACGAACAAUUUCCCGUAAAUAAUGGGAAGGGAUGAACGGUACAAUAAGAGGAAGCCACGGCUAACUACGUGCCAGCAGCCGCGGUAAUACGUAGGGGGCGAGCGUUGUCCGGAAUUACUGGGCGUAAAGGGCGAGUAGGCUGGCAAGUCAAGUCAGAUGUGAAAUACCACGGCUUAACCCUGGAGCUGCAUUUGAAACUGUAAGACUUGAGUGCAGGAGAGGAAAGUGGAAUCCCCAGUGUAGCGGUGAAAUGCGUAGAUAUUGGGGGGAACACCAGUGGCGAAGGCGACUUUCUGGACUGUAACUGACGCUGAGGCGCGAAAGCGUGGGGAGCAAACAGGAUUAGAUACCCUGGUAGUCCACGCCGUAAACGAUGAGUGCUAGGUGUAGAGGGUAUCGACCCCUUCUGUGCCGCAGUUAACACAAUAAGCACUCCGCCUGGGGAGUACGGUCGCAAGACUGAAACUCAAAGGAAUUGACGGGGGCCCGCACAAGCAGCGGAGCAUGUGGUUUAAUUCGACGCAACGCGAAGAACCUUACCAGGACUUGACAUCCCUCGCUAUUGUCUGAAAGGAUGAAUUCCCUUCGGGACAGAGGAGACAGGUGCUGCAUGGCUGUCGUCAGCUCGUGUCGUGAGAUGUUGGGUUAAGUCCCGCAACGAGCGCAACCCCUAUCUUUAGUUGCCAGCAUUAAGUUGGGCACUCUAAAGAGACUGCCGGUGUUAAACCGGAGGAAGGUGGGGAUGACGUCAAGUCCUCAUGGCCUUUAUGACUUGGGCUACACACGUACUACAAUGGCCGGUACAAAGGGCAGCGAAACUGUGAAGCUAGAGCAAAUCUCACAAAGUAUGUCUCAGUUCAGAUCGAAGUCUGCAACUCGCCUACAUGAAGUCGGAAUCGCUAGUAAUCGCAGGUCAGCAUACUGCGGUGAAUACGUUCCCGGGCCUUGUACACACCGCCCGUCACACCACGAAAGUUGGCAACACCCGAAGCCGGUGACUCAACCCGUAAGGGAGAGAGCCGUCGAAGGUGGGGUUAGUAAUUGGGGUGAAGUCGUAACAAGGUAACC